rnacentral:rRNA from 1 species
GCUGGCGGCAAGCCUUACACAUGCAAGUCGAGCGGUAACAUUUCUAGCUUGCUAGAAGAUGACGAGCGGCGGACGGGUGAGUAAAGCAUAGGAAUCUGGCCAAUAGAGGGGGAUAGCCCGGAGAAAUCCGGAUUAAUACCGCAUACACUCUAUGGAGAAAAAGCAGGGGAUCUUCGGACCUUGCGCUAUUGGAUGAGCCUAUGUCGGAUUAGUUAGUUGGUGGGGUAAAGGCCUACCAAGGCAGCGAUCCGUAGCUGGUCUUAGAGGAUGAUCAGCCACAUCGGGACUGAGACACGGCCCGAACUCCUACGGGAGGCAGCAGUGGGGAAUAUUGCACAAUGGGCGCAAGCCUGAUGCAGCUAUGCCGCGUGUGUGAAGAAGGCCUUAGGGUUGUAAAGCACUUUCAGUAGUGAGGAAAAGUGUUGUGUUAAUAGCGCUAUGCUGUGACGUUAGCUACAGAAGAAGGACCGGCAAACUCCGUG